UACGUACCGUCCAAACGUUAUUCGGAAUUACUGGGCUUAAAGGGUUUGUAGGCGGCGCUGUUAGUCGGGUGUGAAAUCCCAGGCUCAACCCUGGAACUGCGCCCGAUACUGCAGUGCUUGAGGGAGACAGAGGUAAGCGGAACUGAUGGUGGAGCGGUGAAAUGCGUUGAUAUCAUCAGGAACACCGGUGGCGAAAGCGGCUACUGGGUCUCUUCGUGACGCUGAG
rnacentral:rRNA from 1 species